rnacentral:rRNA from 1 species
GGACAACAAUUAGAUCAUUUUGACCUCAAAUCAGGUAGGACUACCCAUCGCUGAACUUAAGCAUAUCAU